UAGUCCAUCAAAAUGGCGAUAUUACCAAAAGUUCNUUCUUUUGCUGUUGUUUUAUAUUAUAUUUUUCAAUAAAAAUAAUUCACUGAGACUCAAUUCUGUGUACAUUGACAGGCAUUGUCUCCAACGUGUGUAGAUAAAUAGGAAACAGAUGGGUGUUUAUAAUAUGCUAUAAUUUCUUGUGUAAGAAAUAUAUGUAGGGUCAUAACUGUGUGCAUGGAACAUCUUUGGAAGAAUGCUAGCAAGAGUGGUUGCCCCAGGGUGUCUGGAGACAGGUGGGAAGAGAACUUGCCUUUUACUCCAUGUCUUUCUUUGCCUUUUGAAUUUGGUAUCAUUUUCUCAAGUAUUUUAUUCAAUAAAAUUCAUCAUUGGAAGUUAAUUAGUUAAUAAAGAAGACAUCAUGUUAAAUGAAACUAGUCACAAAGUGACAAAUACUGAUUCUGUUUAUUUGAGGGACUCAGUGAUCAAAUUAAUGGAGAUGCAAAGUAAGAUUGUGGUUACUAGGGAUUGGAAUGAAGGAGGAAAUGGGUUAUCAUUUAAUUGGUACAGAGCUUCCAUUUAGAAGGAUGAAAAAGUACUGCAGGUGGAUAGCGGUGAUGGCUGUAUAACAUUGUGAAUGUACUUAAUGCCCUGGACUGUAUGCUUAAUUAAAAUAAUAAACUUUAUGCUGUGUGUAUUUUGCCAAAAUAAAAAUCAAUUAUUAGGGCUGGGGUUGUAGCUUAGAGGUAGAUUGCUCGCCUACCAUGUAUGAGGCACUGGGUUCGAUCCUUAGCACCACAUAAAAAUAAAAUAAAGAUAUUGUGUCC
rnacentral:lncRNA from 1 species